UACGGGGGGAGCAAGCGUUGUUCGGAUUUACUGGGCGUAAAGGGCGCGUAGGCGGCGCAACAAGUCACUUGUGAAAUCUCCGGGCUUAACCCGGAGCGGCCAAGUGAUACUGUCGUGCUAGAGUGCGGAAGGGGCUACUGGAAUUCUCGGUGUAGCGGUGAAAUGCGUAGAUAUCUGGAGGAACACCGGUGGCGAAGGCGGCAUCCUGGACCGACACUGACACUGAGGAGCGAAAGCCAGGGGAGCAAACGGG
rnacentral:rRNA from 1 species